UUCUAUCGUGCAAAAAAUAUGAUAUUUAUAUUAAUAAUAUAAUAUGAAGUUUGUUAUUAUAUAUAGAUAUAU
rnacentral:sRNA from 1 species